rnacentral:rRNA from 1 species
AGGGGGAAAAUUAAUAAUAAAGAUAAAUAAUAAAAAUAAUUUUAAUAUAAAAUAUGAUAAUGGGGGUUAAAGUAUUUAUAUAGAAAAAAUUAUAAAUUUUAUAGUUAAUUAGUAUUGUAAAAUAAAUUUGAAAUAAUUGAAAAUAAAUUUGAUAAAAAGUAAAUUUUAAUUAUUGUAUCUUGUGUAUCAGAGUUUAUUAAAAAAAAAUUUUAAAUAAAAAAAUUUCGAAUUUAAAAGAGAUAAUUAAUUAAAAAAGUUAAUGUAGCAUAAUUAUUUUAAAUAAUUAAUUUGAAAUGAAAUGUUAAUCGUUUUUAAAUAUAUCUAAUUUUUUUAGAAAAAAAUUUAAUUUUAAAACUUUUUUUUAUUUAAAUUAAUUAAUAAAAUUUAAAUAAAUAAGGUUUAAAUAUUUUAAGGGAUAAGCUUUAAAUUAAAUUUUUAUAAUAAAAUUAAAAAUAAAAUUUAAAAUUUUUAAAAUUUAAAUUGUUUAAAAAUUAAUAUUUAUUAUAAAAUAUUUUAAAAUAAAUAAAAUUUAAUUGAAUUUAAUUUUUUAUAAAAAAAUUAUAUUAAAUAAUAAAAUAAAAGAAAUAAUGAUAAAAUUAGUAUAAAUCAUAAAAAAUAUGAAAAUUUUUAAUAAGAUAAUUAAAAGGAAUUCGGCAAAUAAAUAUAUUCACUUGUUUAUCAAAAACAUGUCUUUUUGAAAAUAAUUUAAAGUCUAAUCUGCCCACUGAUAUGAAUUAAAGGGCUGCAGUAUUUUGACUGUACAAAGGUAGCAUAAUCAAUAGUCUUUUAAUUGAAGACUUGUAUGAAAGAUUGAAUGAAAUAUAAGCUGUCUCUAAAUUAUAUUUAAAAUUUAAUUUUUUAGUUAAAAAGCUAAAAUAAUUUUAAAAGACGAGAAGACCCUAUAGAGUUUUAUAAUUAAAUUUAUUUUUUAUAAAUUAUAAAAUUUUUAUAAAAAAAUUUUUUAAUUAUUUUGUUGGGGUGAUAAAAAAAUUUAAUAAACUUUUUGUAAUUUUUAACAAAAAUAAUUGAUUAAAUGAUCCAUUAUUUAUGAUUAAAAGAUUAAAUUACCUUAGGGAUAACAGCGUAAUAUUUUUUUUUAGUUCAAAUAAAAAAAAAAGUUUGCGACCUCGAUGUUGGAUUAAGAUAAAAAUUAAAUGCAAAAGUUUAAAUUUUUGAUCUGUUCGAUCAUUAAAAUCUUACAUGAUCUGAGUUCAAACCGGUGUAAGCCAGGUUGGUUUCUAUCUUUAAAUAAUUAAAAUAUUUUAGUACGAAAGGAUCAAAUAUUUAAAAUAAUUUUAAUUUAAGAAUAUUAUUAAUUUAUUUGUA